GUUGUCUGCUCUCGUGCGUCCGUGCGUGUCCUGCCCCGUGGCGCAGCAGGGUGACGGCGGGGCCCCGGGCGGCUCAGGAGACACAGAAGAGGAAGAUGCCGUGAGGAUGGGCUUGCUGAAAAUAAUGGAGCGUUCCUAAAACCAAGUAAUAUUAAUAAUAAUAACAGCAACAAUAAAAAUGGUGGCUUACAUUUCACAUAGAA